rnacentral:tRNA from 1 species
UUAGACAUGCCAGACAAAUGGGAUUGGUUUAGGGCCUUUAUAUGGGUUUAAUACCACCCUGUCUAAU